GGCAAAUCAUGGGUCUGUUAUGCACACUGUAUCAGGGUAGAGUUUGAAGGAACAUGAGCAGUUCGAUUGUAUCUAUUUCCAUCUUGUUUUGCUCUGCAGACUGACUGCCUGAAUAAGAAAUUCCAUGGGAAAUCACGAGAAAGAGCUAGAGUCAUAUAUACAAAAUACCAUUUGGCACCAUAAGGAAUGGGUUUGGAACAACUGGAUAUACUUCCACCCCAGGAAUUUCCAGGACAUCUGA
rnacentral:lncRNA from 1 species